AAUGAACGCUGGCGGCAGGCCUAACACAUGCAAGUCGAGCGAAGCCUUCGGGCUUAGCGGCGGACGGGUGAGUAACGCGUGGGAACGUGCCCUUUGGUACGGAAUAGCCCCGGGAAACUGGGAGUAAUACCGUAUGUGGUCGAGAGACGAAAGAUUUAUCGCCAAAGGAUCGGCCCGCGUUGGAUUAGGUAGUUGGUGGGGUAAUGGCCUACCAAGCCGACGAUCCAUAGCUGGUUUGAGAGGAUGAUCAGCCACACUGGGACUGAGACACGGCCCAGACUCCUACGGGAGGCAGCAGUGGGGAAUCUUAGACAAUGGGGGAAACCCUGAUCUAGCCAUGCCGCGUGAUCGAUGAAGGCCUUGGGGUUGUAAAGAUCUUUCAGUGGGGAAGAUAAUGACUGUACCCACAGAAGAAGCCCCGGCUAACUCCGUGCCAGCAGCCGCCGUAAAAC
rnacentral:rRNA from 1 species